AACACAUGCAAGUCGAACGAGACGAUUUAGAAGCUUGCUUUUUAUUGAGUCGAGUGGCAAACGGGUGAGUAACGCGUAGACAACCUGCCUUCAAGAUGGGGACAACAGUCCGAAAGGGCUGCUAAUACCGAAUGACAUGUCUGAACCGCAUGGGACGGACAGCAAAGACGGCCUCCAAACUAUGCUGUCGCUUGAAGAUGGGCCUGCGUCUGAUUAGCUAGUUGGUGAGAUAACAGCCCACCAAGGCGACGAUCAGUAGCCGGUCUGAGAGGAUGAACGGCCACAUUGGGACUGAGACACGGCCCAGACUCCUACGGGAGGCAGCAGUGGGGAAUCUUCCGCAAUGGACGAAAGUCUGACGGAGCAACGCCGCGUGAGUGAAGAAGGUCUUCGGAUCGUAAAGCUCUGUUGAGAGGGACGAGAGAUUACUUCAGGAAAUGGGAGUAAGAGGACGGUACCUUUCGAGGAAGCCACGGCUAACUACGUG
rnacentral:rRNA from 1 species